rnacentral:rRNA from 1 species
CCUACGGGUGGCAGCAGUGGGGAAUCUUGCGCAAUGGGCGGAAGCCUGACGCAGCGACGCCGCGUGCGGGACGAAGGCCUUCGGGUCGUUAACCGCCUUCAGCAGGGACGCGGCCCCCACGGUGACGGUACCUGCAGAAGAAGCCCCGGCUAACUACGUGCCAGCAGCCGCGGUAAUACGUAGGGGGCGAGCGUUAACCGGAUUCAUUGGGCGGAAGGCGCGCGUAGGCGGCCUGUUAGGUCGGGGGUCAAAUCCCGGGGCUCAACCCCGGUCCGCCCCCGAUACCGGCAGGCUUGAGUCUGGUAGGAGAAGGCGGAAUGCCCGGUGUAGCGGUGGAAUGCGCAGAUAUUGGGAAGAACACCGGCGGCGAAGGCGGCCUUCUGGGCCACGACUGACGCUGAGGCGCGAAAGCUAGGGGAGCGAACAGGAUUAGAUACCCGGGUAGUC